rnacentral:rRNA from 1 species
GACGAACGCUGGCGGCGUGCUUAACACAUGCAAGUCGAACGGAAAGGCCCUGCUUUUGUGGGGUGCUCGAGUGGCGAACGGGUGAGUAACACGUGAGUAACCUGCCCUUGACUUUGGGAUAACUUCAGGAAACUGGGGCUAAUACCGGAUAGGAGCUCCUGCUGCAUGGUGGGGGUUGGAAAGUUUCGGCGGUUGGGGAUGGACUCGCGGCUUAUCAGCUUGUUGGUGGGGUAGUGGCUUACCAAGGCUUUGACGGGUAGCCGGCCUGAGAGGGUGACCGGCCAAAUGGGAAAUGGGAUAAGGCCCAGACUCCGAGGGGGGGAAGGAGGGGGGAAAAUGGCACAAGGGGGGGAGGCAGGGGGGAAAAAGGCCGGGGAGGGGAUAGCGGCCUUGGGGUGGUAAACAGCUUUAGCCGGUGAAGAGGCGGGAGUGAAGGUAAUGGGAAAAGAGGCACGGGCUAAAUACGG